rnacentral:rRNA from 1 species
UACGUAGGGGCAGCAGUGUCGGAUUCGAUUGGUGCGUAAAGAGCGUGUAGGCGGCCAGGUAGGUCCGCUGUGAAAACUCGAGGCUCAACCUCGAGAUGUCGGCGGAAACCAUCUGGCUAGAGUCCGGAAGAGGAGAGUGGAAUUCCUGGUGUAGCGGUGAAAUGCGCAGAUAUCAGGAAGAACACCCGUGGCGAAGGCGGCUCUCUGGGACGGUACUGACGCUGAGACGCGAAAGCGUGGGGAGCGAACAGG